AAUUAGGUGGCUGAGAAAAAGCGUUGGUCUCUUAAACCAAUUUACGGUUAAUCCCCUAGUUG
rnacentral:tRNA from 1 species